UACGUAGGGUGCGAGCGUUGUCCGGAAUUAUUGGGCGUAAAGGGCUCGUAGGCGGUCUGUCGCGUCCGUUGUGAAAACUCGAGGCUCAACCUCGGGCUUGCAGUGGAUACGGGCAGACUAGAGUGCGGUAGGGGAGACUGGAAUUCCUGGUGUAGCGGUGGAAUGCGUAGAGAUCAGGAGGAACACCCGUGGCGAAGGCGGCUCCCUGGUCCGUUUCUGACGCUGAGACGCGAAAGCGCGGGGGAGCGAACGGGG
rnacentral:rRNA from 1 species